rnacentral:tRNA from 1 species
GCUAUUUUGGCAGAUAAUAUGCAUUAAAUUUAGGAUUUAAUUAUAUAGUAGAUCUAUAAAUAGUAAAAUAAUUUUAGUGGCUAAUUAUUUU